rnacentral:lncRNA from 1 species
GCUAGCACUUGUUUGCUGAACUGUGGAAGAACUGCAAGAUCACACACAUUAUUCAUGAUAAAGCAACUGAGCUGACGAGUCUGUGCUUAAUUCA